rnacentral:rRNA from 1 species
CAGUUGCGUAUUCGAAUGUUGUCGAAGCAUAGUAGUAUCCUGAGUAGCGCGGAGCACGAGGAAUUCUGCGUGAAUCUGCCGGGACCAUCCGGUAAGGCUAAAUACUCCCGAGAGACCGAUAGCGAACCAGUACCGUGAGGGAAAGGUGAAAAGCACUUCGAACAGAAGAGUGAAAUAGUUCCUGAAACCGUGCGCCUACAAGCGGUCGGAGCUCGUUAAUGAGUGACGGCGUGCCUUUUGCAUAAUGAACCUACGAGUUGCCUUUGCCGGCAAGGUUAAGUGUGACGACACACGUAUCCGAAGCGAAAGCGAGUCUGAAUAGGGCGUAUAGUCGGCAGUGGCAGACGCGAAACCAAGUGAUCUACCCUUGGCCAGGUUGAAGGCUGGGUAACACCAGCUGGAGGACCGCACCAAUAAGCGUUGAAAAGCUUCUGGAUGAGCUGAGGGUAGGGGUGAAAGGCUAAUCAAACUUGGAGAUAGCUCGUACUCCCCGAAAUGCAUUUAGGUGCAGCCUCGCGGGUUACUGAUGUGAGGUAGAGCGACUGAUUGGAUGCGAGGGCUUCACCGCCUAUCAAGUCCUGACAAACUCCGAAUGCGCAUCAGUUUUACCGCGGGAGUGAGGGCAUGGGUGCUAAGGUCCGUGCCCGAGAGGAGAAGAAUCCGGACUAUCAGCUAAGGCCCCGAAAUGACAGCUAAGUUAAACUAACGAAGUCUGAUUGCUAAGACAGCUAGGAUGUUGGCUUGGAAGCAGCCAUUCAUUUAAAGAGUGCGUAACAGCUCACUAGUCGAGGAGUCGGGCGUGGAUAAUAAUCGGGUAUCAAGUUGUCUACCGAAGCAGUGGGAUCAUUGAUAUGAUCGGUAGGGGAGCAUUCCAGUCGGCGUCGAAGGCGUACCGUGAGGUAUUCUGGAGCGUCUGGAAAAGCAAAUGUAGGUAUAAGUAACGAUAAAGGGGGCGGGAAACCCCCUCGCCGAAAGACUAAGGUUUCCUGAUCAACGCUAAUCGGAUCAGGGUCAGUCGGGUCCUAAGGCUCAGCCGAACGGCGAUGCCGAUGGCAGAAACGGUUAAUAUUCCGUUACUACCUUCAGGAGUGACGUGGAGACGCAGUAGUGACAGUGCCGCCAUCUGACGGAAUAGAUGGUUGAAGGGUGUAGGAGUCGAUCAUGGCAGGCAAAUCCACCAUGAGAUCCGAACCUGAUAGUAUGCCGCGUCCUUCGGGACAAGGCAAUAGUGCGCGUAAGCAUGCUGCCGAGAAAAUCCGCUAAACUUAAUCCUGCAGGUACCCGUACCGCAAACGGACACACGUAGUCGGGAUGAAUAUUCUAAGGCGCUUGAGUGAUUCACGGUUAAGGAACUAGGCAAACUGACCCUGUAACUUCGGGAUAAAGGGUCCCUACCCUUUUAUGGGAGGGCGCAGAGAAUCGGUCCAGGCAACUGUUUAACAAAAACACAGGGCUGUGCCAAAUCGAAAGAUCCAGUAUACAGCCUGACACCUGCCCGGUGCUGGAAGGUUAAGAGGAGAUGUCAUCGAUAAGAGAAGCGUUGAAUUGAAGCCCCAGUAAACGGCGGCCGUAACUAUAACGGUCCUAAGGUAGCGAAAUUCCUUGUCGGGUAAGUUC